rnacentral:lncRNA from 1 species
CCAGGGGGCGGUGUGCGCCCCCGGCGCUGGAGCAGCCGCGUUUCGGGGACCCGGGCAGGCGUGGGGGGCUGCGCUGAGCUCCAGGCCUCCUGCAGGUGCAAUAAGAAUCGUAUUACUAAUGUGGUGUCCUCUGGAAUGGUCACAUGAACACAGUUCCCUGCAGAUGUAAUUGGGAGAGAAGGCACAGUCCUGACACAGGGUAAGACUGUGGAGGUGUAUUGCUGUCCCUACCAGCCUGGAGUGCAGUAGUGUAAUCUCGGCUCACUGCAGCCUCAAACUUCUGGGCUCGAGCGAUCCUCUCACCUCAGCCUCCUGAGUAGCUGGGACUACAGGUGCGUGCCACCAUGUCUAG